rnacentral:rRNA from 1 species
UGAGUNGAGUUGUUUGGGAAUGCUGCUCAAAAUGGGAGGUAAACCCCUUCUAAAGCUAAAUACCGGCCAGAGACCGAUAGCGCACAAGUAGAGUGAUCGAAAGAUGAAAAGCACUUUGAAAAGAGAGUUAAACAGCACGUGAAAUUGUUGAAAGGGAAGCGCUUGCGACCAGACUUGCGCCCGUCGGAUCAACCGUCCCUCGUGGGCGGCGCACUCCGGCGGGCUCAGGCCAGCAUCAGUUUCCCGGGGGGGAGAAAGGCGGUGGGAAUGUAGCUCUUCGGAGUGUUAUAGCCCUCCGUGUAAUACCCCCUGGGGGACUGAGGACCGCGCUUUAUGCAAGGAUGCUGGCGUAAUGGUCGUCAGCGACCCGUCUUGAANCACGA